CAGAUCCAAUUUUCUGCCACCGAAUACAUUAGCAUGGGAUAAUGGAAUAGGACCCUGUCCUCCUAUUUUCAGUUGGUUUGCCGCGAGGACCAGGGUAAUGAUUAAUAGGGAUAGUUGGGGGCAUUAAUAUUUAAUUGUCAGAGGUGAAAUUCUUGGAUUUAUGAAAGAUUAACUUCUGCGAAAGCAUCUGCCAAGGAUGUUUUCAUUAAUCAAGAACGAAAGUUAGGGGAUCGAAGACGAUCAGAUACCGUCGUAGUCUUAACCAUAAACGAUGCCGACCAGCGAUUAGGAGACGUUGAAUACAAAACACCACCAUGCGCAUUGCGGU
rnacentral:rRNA from 1 species